AUUACAAAUAACCGACUUCCUGUUGGUUUUAGAAAUUUGCUCCAAGAGUCUUUUUUGUAGGUAUUGGUGUGUUACAUAUGUGUGCCAAUUUUCGUGCAUGUACGUGAAACAUAGCUCGAAGGCUGUUGAUUUUCUUCGUAUAGGUGGCGCUGUCGAGUCAUUUUGCCACACCCUCUUCUGAAUCCUAUAUCAGACGAAAAUUUUCACCUGGUUUUACGCGUGUGCAAAGUUUCAUGACUUUUUGAGCAUGUUUAAGCCCUCAAAAAUGCGAUUCAUUUUGGAGAAGCGGAAGAAUAAGAAUAAAUAUAGCUGCAAGCAGCGAUGGCGGGCUCAAGCCACCAAUGCCAUCGCCACCCCGGUGGCAUCAGGUAAACUGUGCCCAGCGGGCACAUGCAUUCACAAUAUCCCUCUGGCAGUGAGGUUUUAAAGGAUAAGGCAGUUAAAGGGUUAAUCAGAAUCAUCAAGACUUUAAAAUCACAUUCACAGAACAAUAUAUAUAACUUUAGUGACACUUUACAAUAAUAUUUCAUUUCUAAACAUUAUGUUAACAUGAACAAUAUUUAUAUAGCAUUCAUUCAUGUCAGUUAAUAUUCCAAACUUAAACAUUAAAACAUUGUUUUAUUGUGAUUUUUUUCCAAGCACAUUUUACCAAUUCCAAACCAUAUCAAUCUUAAUAACUACCAUUAUUUUUUAUUUAAUCAUUUAUGAGUGCUAUACAAUAGUCCAGGAAAGCUGGAAGAGAAAAACUCCUUAUAUUCAUGUGUGCAGAAUUAUUGGGCAUGUUUUCUUUUACAGAUGAAAUGCGCUAAAAAAGAGUUUUAACUCAAACUGUAAAGCCCAUGAGAAAUAUCAAACACAAAUGCAAUACAGAAAUGGAUAAGUUAAGACUUGGCCAUUGUACAAAAAAUGCUGACUGGGUCAUGAGGUCAGAAAAGAAGAAGAAAAAAACAGGUCAAGAAGAACUGACAAAAAGAAUUGCAAAAUAAUUAGGAAUUAAUGUGAAGAUUAAUUUUUAGUCAAUUCUGCAAGACAGACUUUCAGGAAAGGAGGUGGAAUAAAAAUGAGCUCCUAAAUCUUAAUCCCGGAUUCUGGAAGAUAUAUUCCUCAAACCAUCGGACAAGAGGAGGUGGUGCUGGUCCUUCACGAGUCACUCUAAUCUGUUCAUAAAGCCUAUAUAUAAAGUCUUAAUAUAUAGUAUUUCACAAUACUUCAUGGUAUUCUAAUCAAAUAAUUUUUUUGAAUCUUAGAUCUCUCAGAACCUGACACAGAGUAAUUCUGGAGACUCCAGGAAAGUGGCAGUUCUGUAAAAUGUUGGCACUGGAGACUAAAUGCUCCCUGAUAGUUUCACACCUAAUUCACUUAACACCCACACACAUACACACACACACACACACACACACACACACACACACACACACACACACACACACACACACACACACACACACACACAUUACCCACAGUGACAGAGGGACAGAGUGACAUCAGAUGUAUGAUAGUUUUUUAAUUUUCUAUCAUCCAUAUAGUGUUGUAUAGUCAUGAAACUAUGCAUAUUUCCUCAGAAUGACUUGUCUUCUAUGUGUACAUUUUUUUGAAGUGUUUAGAAGCUGCACUUUAAAAAAAUAAAAGACAUUUACUGGUUACUUUUUUACUGUUAUUUCAAUAAAUCACCACGACAAAACCAUUCAAGCUAUCCAA